ACUUGGAUUUAAAUACUUUCAUUGAAAUGUAUGAUUUCUUGGUCGACAUGCACACUUUCGAAGCUCCUCCCAAGAAUGAUAUUGGAUUGGUUUGACAUUGCUUGUGAGGCGUCACUGAUUUACACCUUGUAACAGCUCAUGUUUCUGUUUUCUAACGUGGAACAUCCCCAAGGUUCCGGUUUAGGGAAACCUGGUUCUCGACCAGGCUAAGCUAGACAUCACCUUCACGGUCUACUGUAGUUAGCCUACAUCAUGUCUCAGUGGACCUUUAACCAGCACAUGAUCCAGAGGUAAUGACACUGAAGACAGCACUACAAAACCCUGCUCAGCAAUGAUCCAGAGGUAAUGACACUGAAGACAGCACCAGAAAACCCUGCUCCACCGCUGACUGCUCAGCAAUGAUCCAGAGGUAAUGACACUGAAGACAGCACUACAAAACCCUGCUCCACUGCUCAGCAGUGAUCCAGAGGUAAUGACACUGAAGACAGCACUACAAAACCCUGCUCUACCGCUGACUGCUCAGCAAUGAUCCAGAGGUAAUGACACUGAAGACAGCACUACAAAACCCUGCUCUACCGCUGACUGCUCAGCAAUGAUCCAGAGGUAUUGACACUGAAGACAGCACUACAAAACCCUGCUCCACCGCCCACUGCUCAGCAAUGAUCCAGAGGUAAUGACACUGAAGACAGCACUACAAAACCCUGCUCAGCAAUGAUCCAGAGGUAAUGACACUGAAGACAGCACUACAAAACCCUGCUCCACUGCUCAGCAAUGAUCCAGAGGUAAUGACACUGAAGACAGCACUACAAAACCCUGCUCCACAGCUCACUGCUCAGCAAUGAUCCAGAGGUAAUGACACUGAAGACAGCACUACAAAACCCUGCUCCACAGCUCACUGCUCAGCAAAUACAUUUACAGUAAAAAAAUUAAAGUUGGAUCGAGUGCGAGAGCUUUACCAUGCAAUCUGGAAAUGAUUCAUGCUGACAGGCUUUGAACACUCAGCAUGAAUAUCCCAAACAUAAUGAUGGCUUUUGUGUCACAAACUUAUUUGAAGGGAGGGGGGGGCAUCCCUGUUCUUGGAGAGCAGUAGGCCAACAUUUUGAGCUGAGCUAAUUGAUCAACACAGCGAUUGUGUAAAUUCGAACAUACCUGCUCUCCCAAGCUGGUACCUGCCAUCGAAUUGGGUCACUCUCUAGGACUUAGAAGUUGUGUGCCAGUAUAUUCUUUCCCAGUCAUGCUGCCCUCUAAGUAGACAAACUGUAAUUUCUUCCAUUUCACACUGUGGUAUGCUAAACAUACAACGUGAGCAUGGUUCUUCAGUCAAAACCUGCA